rnacentral:rRNA from 1 species
UACGUAGGGGGCAAGCGUUGUCCGGAAUCAUUGGGCGUAAAGCGCGUGUAGGCGGCUCGAUAAGUCCGCUCUGAAAGUCCAGGGCUCCAACCCUGGGAUGCGGGUGGAUACUGUCGGGCUCGAGUCCGGAAGAGGCGAGUGGAAAUUCCCGGUGUAGUCGGCUGAAAGUGCGCAGAUAUCGGGAGGAACACCAAUGGCGAAGGCAGCUCGCUGGGACGUGACUGACGCUGAGACGCGAAAGCGUGGGGAGCAAACAGG